CCUACGGGUGGCAGCAGUGGGGAAUAUUGCACAAUGGGCGAAAGCCUGAUGCAGCAACGCCGCGUGAGUGAAGAAGGUUUUCGGGACGUAAAGCCCUGUCCUCAAGGAAGAUAAUGACGGUACUUGUGGAAGAAGCCCCGGCUAACUACGUGCCAGCAGCCGCGGUAAUACGUAGGGGGCUAGCGUUAUCCGGCUUUACUGGGCGUAAAGGGGGCGUAGGUGGUUUGUUAAGUCGGAGGUGAAAGGCUGGGGCUCAACCGGAGUAAGCCUUUGAAACUGGGAAACUGGAGUUCAUGAGAGGAGAGUGGAAUUCCUAGUGUAGCGGUGAAAUGCGUAGAUAUUAGGAGGAACACCAGUUGCGAAGGCGGCUCGCUGGACUGUAACUGACGCUGAGGCACGAAAGCGUGGGGAGCAAACAGGAUUAGAUACCCCAGUAGUC
rnacentral:rRNA from 1 species